UGGGGAAUUUUGGACAAUGGGCGAAAGCCUGAUCCAGCAAUGCCGCGUGUGUGAAGAAGGCCUUCGGGUUGUAAAGCACUUUUGUCCGGAAAGAAAUCCUUGGCUCUAAUACAGUCGGGGGAUGACGGUACCGGAAGAAUAAGCACCGGCUAACUACGUGCCAGCAGCCGCGGUAAUACGUAGGGUGCAAGCGUUAAUCGGAAUUACUGGGCGUAAAGCGUGCGCAGGCGGUUUGCUAAGACCGAUGUGAAAUCCCCGGGCUCAACCUGGGAACUGCAUUGGUGACUGGCAGGCUAGAGUAUGGCAGAGGGGGGUAGAAUUCCACGUGUAGCAGUGAAAUGCGUAGAGAUGUGGAGGAAUACCGAUGGCGAAGGCAGCCCCCUGGGCCAAUACUGACGCUCAUGCACGAAAGCGUGGGGAGCAAACAGGAUUAGAUACCCUGGUAGUCCACGCCCUAAACGAUGUCAACUAGUUGUUGGGGAUUCAUUUCCUUAGUAACGUAGCUAACGCGUGAAGUUGACCGCCUGGGGAGUACGGUCGCAAGAUUAAAACUCAAAUGAAUUGACGGGUCAUAGCUGUUUCCU
rnacentral:rRNA from 1 species